rnacentral:rRNA from 1 species
UGGGGAAUUUUGGACAAUGGGCGAAAGCCUGAUCCAGCAAUGCCGCGUGUGUGAAGAAGGCCUUCGGGUUGUAAAGCACUUUUGUCCGGAAAGAAAUCCUUGGCUCUAAUACAGUCGGGGGAUGACGGUACCGGAAGAAUAAGCACCGGCUAACUACGUGCCAGCAGCCGCGGUAAUACGUAGGGUGCAAGCGUUAAUCGGAAUUACUGGGCGUAAAGCGUGCGCAGGCGGUUUGCUAAGACCGAUGUGAAAUCCCCGGGCUCAACCUGGGAACUGCAUUGGUGACUGGCAGGCUAGAGUAUGGCAGAGGGGGGUAGAAUUCCACGUGUAGCAGUGAAAUGCGUAGAGAUGUGGAGGAAUACCGAUGGCGAAGGCAGCCCCCUGGGCCAAUACUGACGUUCAUGCACGAAAAGCGUGGGGAGCAAACAGGAUUAGAUACCCUGGUAGUCCACGCCCUAAAACGAUGUCAACUAGUUGUUGGGGGAUUCAUUUCCUUAGUAACGUAGCUAACGCGUGAAGUUGACCGCCUGGGGAGUACGGUCGCAAGAUUAAAACUUAAAGGAA